rnacentral:rRNA from 1 species
UACGUAGGGGGCGAGCGUUGUCCGGAUUUAUUGGGCGUAAAGAGCUCGUAGGCGGUUUGGUAAGUCGGGUGUGAAAUCUCCACGCUCAACGUGGAGGGGCCACUCGAUACUGCCAUGACUCGAGUCCGGUAGAGGAGUGUGGAAUUCCCGGUGUAGCGGUGAAAUGCGCAGAUAUCAGGAGGAACACCGGUGGCGAAGGCGGGUCUCUGGGCCGGAACUGACGCUGGAGGAGCGAAAGCGUGGGGAGCGAACAGG